AUGGACGUGUACAUUUCAGAGGAGUACGUGAUCCAGCGGCGCGCCGAGAAGAGGGCGGCGGCUCGGAGGGCGGCCACUGCCGACGGCGUCAAGGAGGAGGCCGGGAGGAGCCGGUGGACGGCGUCGUGGGCGGACGCUGCGCAGAAGAAGGGCAAUGCAGAUGCCAGCGCCAACGCCAUUGCCAAUGCAGCUGAGUGGAGCUCAAGGAGCGGCGAUGAGGUCAUUCUUGCCUAUUUAUCGGCGUAG
rnacentral:rRNA from 1 species